ACCGAAAUAGCUCAGUUGGGAGAAUGCUGGACUAUAGAUCGGAAAGUCCCUGGUUCGAUCCAUGGUUCCGGCA
rnacentral:tRNA from 1 species